rnacentral:rRNA from 1 species
GGCGUAAAGCGUGGUUAAAAGUCCCACUAAACUAAGACUAAACCUUUCCAAGGCUGUUAUACGCACCCGGAAAUAUGAAACUCAACUACGAAAGUGGCCUUAAUUUACCCUUGACCCCACGAAAGCUGCGAAACAAACUGGGAUUAGAUACCCCACUAUGCACAGCCAUAAACUUUGAUUGAAAACUACAAAUUCUAUCCGCCCGGGAACUACGAGCAUAAGCUUAAAACCCAAAGGACUUGGCGGUGCUUUAGACCCCCCUAGAGGAGCCUGUUCUAGAACCGAUAACCCCCGAUAGACCUCACCUUUUCUUGUCUAUUCCGCCUAUAUACCGCCGUCGUCAGCNNACCUGUGAAGAUAAAUAGUAAGCAAACUGGUAAACCAAACGCAGUCGAGAGCAUACGAAAGGAAAGAAAUGGGCUACAUUUCCUUUACUUAGGAAACACGAAUUGUGCUAUGAAAUAACACAUGAAGGUGGAUUAGCAGUAAGAAAAAGAAGUUCCGCUGAAA